GGGAUUGCCUCAGUAACGGCGAGUGAAGCGGCAACAGCUCAAAUUUGAAAUCUGGGUCUUUCAGGCUCCGAGUUGUAAUUUGUAGAAGAUGCUUCGGGUGUGGCUCCGGUCUAAGUUCCUUGGAACAGGACGUCAUAGAGGGUGAGAAUCCCGUAUGUGACUGGUUGCCUUCGCUCAUGUGAAGCUCUUUCGACGAGUCGAGUUGUUUGGGAAUGCAGCUCAAAAUGGGUGGUAAAUUUCAUCUAAAGCUAAAUAUUGGCCAGAGACCGAUAGCGCACAAGUAGAGUGAUCGAAAGAUGAAAAGCACUUUGGAAAGAGAGUUAAACAGUACGUGAAAUUGUUGAAAGGGAAGCGCUUGCAACCAGACUUGCACGCUGCCGAUCAUCCAGGGUUCUCUCUGGUGCACUCGGUUGCGUUCAGGCCAGCAUCGGUUUGGGUGGUUGGAUAAAGGCCUUGGGAAUGUAGCUUCCUUCGGGGAGUGUUAUAGCCCUCGGUGCAAUGCAGCCUACCUGGACCGAGGACCGCGCUUCGGCUAGGAUGCUGGCGUAAUGGUUGUAAGCGACCCGUCUUGAAACACGGACCAAGGAGUCUAACAUCUAUGCGAGUGUUUGGGUGUCAAACCCAUACGCGUAAUGAAAGUGAACGGAGGUGAGAACCCUUAAGGGUGCAUCAUCGACCGAUCCUGAUGUCUUCGGAUGGAUUUGAGUAAGAGCAUAGCUGUUGGGACCCGAAAGAUGGUGAUCUAUACUUGAAUAGGGUGAAGCCAGAGGAAACUCUGGUGGAGGCUCGCAGCGG
rnacentral:rRNA from 1 species